GACAUGUGUCUAUGUUUGAAAUUCAGACACAUACUACAAGCGGUACACACGGCAAUAACAAAUGAUGUCCACCAAUGAUGUCAUCCGUCAUCAGCAAUUGAAAUAGCAAAGGUGGAGGAUCUUCCAAUCACUUUUCUGUUGGUGAAACCAGUCCUAUUUUGGAUGUGUAACACUGUGACCUUUGCACACAGCGUAUUGCCAUUGGAAUUACUGUUGCCCUCGGCCACGAUUUAUUGAUGGGCUUAGGGUGAUAUUUUGGGAUGCGCAAUGAAAAUGUACACUUCACAUUGGUCUGUUAACUGUCCUGCGUUGGGUAAGGCAAGCAUUCAUUGAGUCAGGAAUCUUCAGGUUACUGGAGCAGCAGAGGACAGGGACCAUGCUGGGCGGGGGGCUAUUAAUAUGAAACAAUGACGUGCUACAUCUGACGUGCCAGAGAGGCUGUCUGUUCUGUGGAUCAUCCUUGACUCCCCACCCAGUGAUGCAGGGGAAAUGCAGGACUUGGGUUAUACAACUGGAUUGGGUUAUUCCUUGAAAAUUCACCAUUGAAGUGUUCAGGAUGAUGGAGGUGAAUUCAAGUCCUAUCACAGCACUCCACCCGCUGGCUGUUCUGGACAUUGUCCUCACACUGGCCAAUCAUGCUCAUGUUAGCAGCAGGUAUGCCGCGCUCAUAUUAACAUCAGAUGCUUGGAGAUAGAGAAGCGAACCAGUGAGCACAAAGCAUACCAGAGUGAUAAAGUCUGCUGCCACCAGAGCUUUGGGAGUGCCCGUAAAGUAACCACCUGUCGCCUGUAAAUCCCUCAACUCUUUAGCCGGAAUCCUGCAAACAUGCAACCCCUAUGUUGAGUUGACCUUUGGGGAGUGGGCAAAUCUGCCGGCUACAUCUCCAACUUGAUGCCACUCAAUCCCUCGCUAAUAUGGAAAUAAUUAGAUUGGGAAAAGGUGAAAGAUCGUUGGGACACAACUUGGCAGUCUGUCAGGAUGGGAUCAACGCGGUUUUCCAAUGGAAGCGAGCGAGACACCAGGGAUAUCUCAUACACUGAAUAUGAUGCUGCCCCCUCACCCCUACCCCUGACACUGGUCAUUUCUCCUUCUGCCAGCACAUGAGGGCCAUUAUCACAGUACAGCAAGUGGUACAUGUGUGUGUCCAGUUACAAUCAAAAUAAUGUUUGUUGUCAAACAGCAGCAGGAAGUCUUGCAAUGCUUGUUGGUUUUACACAAACGCGCGCGCACGCACACA